AUAAUGAUACUUCCACUUAGUCCUAGGUAUCCCAUGGAGAGUGGCUUCCACAUUGUGGGAGAGGUUAAAGUCCUAUGA
rfam:Clostridium sp. BL8 Contig47, whole genome shotgun sequence.